rnacentral:SRP_RNA from 1 species
GCUGGGCACGGUGGCGCGUGCCUGUAAUCCCAGCUACUCAGGAGGCUGAGGCAGGAGAAUUGCCUGAACCCAGGGGGCGGAGGUUGCGGUGAGCCGAGAUCGCGCCAUUGCCCUCCAGCCUGGGUAACAAGAGCAAAACUCCGUCUCAAAAAAAAAAAAAAAAGUGGUUUUUUUUGUUUUGUUUGGCUUGGCUUUUUUUGAGGCAGAGUCUCGCUCUGACACCCAGGCUGCAGUGCAGUGGGGCAGUCUCGGCUCACUGCAGCCUCCACUCCCUGGCUCAGGCAAUUCUCCUGCCUCAG